rnacentral:rRNA from 1 species
GACGAACGCUGGCGGCGUGCUUAACACAUGCAAGUCGAACGGAAAGGCCCUGCUUGCCGGGUACUCGAGUGGCGAACGGGUGAGUAACACGUGGGUGAUCUGCCCUGCACUUCGGGAUAAGCCUGGGAAACUGGGUCUAAUACCGGAUAGGAGCCAUUUUUAGUGUGAUGGUUGGAAAGUUUUUUCGGUGUAGGAUGAGCUCGCGGCCUAUCAGCUUGUUGGUGGGGUAAUGGCCUACCAAGGCGGCGACGGGUAGCCGGCCUGAGAGGGUGGACGGCCACAUUGGGACUGAGAUACGGCCCAGACUCCUACGGGAGGCAGCGGUGGGGAAUAUUGCACAAUGGGCGCAAGCCUGAUGCAGCGACGCCGCGUGGGGGAUGACGGCCUUCGGGUUGUAAACUCCUUUCGCUAGGGACGAAGCUUUUUGUGACGGUACCUAGAUAAGAAGCACCGGCUAACUACGUG